rnacentral:tRNA from 1 species
GGCCAUAGCUCAGUGGUAGAGCAUUUGCUUUGCAUGCAAAAGGUUCCAUGUUCAAUCCCAGAUAAGGCUG